rnacentral:rRNA from 1 species
AUUGAACGCUGGCGGCAUGCUUUACACAUGCAAGUCGAACGGCAGCAUGGGCUUCGGCCUGAUGGCGAGUGGCGAACGGGUGAGUAAUGCAUCGGAACGUACCCAGUCGUGGGGGAUAACGUAGCGAAAGUUACGCUAAUACCGCAUACGACCUGAGGGUGAAAGCAGGGGAUCUUUGGACCUUGUGCGAUUGGAGCGGCCGAUGUCAGAUUAGCUAGUUGGUGGGGUAAAGGCCUACCAAGGCGACGAUCUGUAGCGGGUCUGAGAGGAUGAUCCGCCACACUGGGACUGAGACACGGCCCAGACUCCUACGGGAGGCAGCAGUGGGGAAUUUUGGACAAUGGGCGCAAGCCUGAUCCAGCCAUGCCGCGUGCGGGAAGAAGGCCUCGGUUGUAAG